rnacentral:lncRNA from 1 species
GACGCGGAUGGGCUCAUGAGCUUUUCCUACAGGCGGGCUUAGAGAGAAGGGGGUCGGGGCGGAGCAGCCCCCCACUCAUUCCGCAUGGCCGAAGCACCUACUGUGUGCCCGGGGGCGCUAAGCUCCAGAGCGCCCCCAGACUGGCCCCGAGGGCCGCGGGCGACUUCCGGUGGGAAAUUCCCCGGGGAUGGGCUGCCCCCCCCCACCAGCAGAGCGCGGUCCGGGGUCACAGGCGGCUGGGCCAGGCUGCCCCCACCCCGGGACGCUGGAGGCUGAGAGGAGGGGCGAGGCGCCCGCCAGGGGGGGGCGGAAGACUCCCACAGCUAGCCUCAGACAGCGACUCCGCACCCCACGGGAAGGGAGAAGACAGAGCUCUGGAGUGAAGGAGAGCCAGACCGCCUUCCUCAUCCCAGCAGCCCCCCAGGGAUGGCUGCCUGAGCGAGAUGGUGCCCCAAGCUCCUGAGGGCCAGGGAUUGUGAAGUGCUGGGCCUCAGCAUCUGCCAGGAUCAUUGAAGGGUGAAGACACCCGCCUCAGUAUCUGGAAGAUCAGAGUUCAAAUCUGCCUUAGACACUGCCUAGCUUUGGGAUCCUGGGAAAGUCGUUUAAGCUCUGGA